UCUAGAACUCAAGAUAUGGGUUGAACAAUGAACAGUGUCUGGGCUACGGGACAGAUUCCAACUUCUUUGUUGUUGCUAAGAUUUGGACUUCUAAACAGCAGAAUUGAGUCAUGGACUCCAAAUGAAAGUUUUAGGUCUAUGUCUUAGAUUUCUAGC
rfam:Populus trichocarpa scaffold_20_contig_15, whole genome shotgun sequence.